UGCCGUGAAAUCNUCUGGCCCAGCUGGGGGCGUGCGGUGGGUACGGGCUGGCUUGAGUGCGGUAGGGGAGGCUGGAACUCCUGGUGUAGCGGUGGAAUGCGCAGAUAUCAGGAGGAACACCGGUGGCGAAGGCGGGUCUCUGGGCCGUUACUGACGCUGAGGAGCGAAAGCGUGGGGAGCGAACAGGAUUAGAUACCCUGGUAGUCCACGCUGUAAACGUUGGGCACUAGGUGUGGGGGGUCUUUCCGGGUCNUCCGCGCCGUAGCUAACGCAUUAAGUGCCCCGCCUGGGGAGUACGGCCGCAAGGCUAAAACUCAAAGGAAUUGACGGGGGCCCGCACAAGCGGCGGAGCAUGCGGAUUAAUUCGAUGCAACGCGAAGAACCUUACCAAGGCUUGACAUGUGCCGGUUGUCCUUCGGAGACGGGGGGUCCUCCCUAUUUGUGGGGGUCGGUUCACAGGUGGUGCAUGGUUGUCGUCAGCUCGUGUCGUGAGAUGUUGGGUUAAGUCCCGCAACGAGCGCAACCCUUGUCCCGUGUUGCAGCACGUCGUGGUGGGGACUCGCGGGAGACUGCCGGGGUUAACUCGGAGGAGGGUGGGGAUGACGUCAAAUCAUCAUGCCCCUUAUGUCUUGGGCUUCACGCAUGCUACAAUGGCCGGUACAGUGGGUUGCGAUGUCGUGAGGCGGAGCGAAUCCCUUAAAGCCGGUCUCAGUUCGGAUCGGUGUCUGCAACUCGACACCGUGAAGCUGGAGUCGCUAGUAAUCGCAGAUCAGCAGCGCUGCGGUGAAUACGUUCUCGGGCCUUGUACACACCGCCCGUCACGUCAUGAAAGCUGGCAACACCCGAAGCCCGUGGCCCUAUGGGG
rnacentral:rRNA from 1 species